rnacentral:piRNA from 1 species
UUCUGAGCAGAAGGAACAGUAUGUGCUAAA